GGUUAAGUUAGAAAGGGCGCACGGUGAAUGCCUUGGCACUAGGAGCCGAUGAAGGACGGGACUAACACCGAUAUGCUUCGGGGAGCUGUAAGUGAGCUUUGAUCCGGAGAUUUCCGAAUGGGGAAACCCACUGUUCGUAAUGGAACAGUAUCUUUAUCUGAAUACAUAGGAUAUUGAAGGCAGACCCGGGGAACUGAAACAUCUAAGUACCCGGAGGAAGAGAAAGCAAAUGCGAUUUCCUGAGUAGCGGCGAGCGAAACGGAAUUAGCCCAAACCAAGAGGCUUGCCUCUUGGGGUUGUAGGACACUCUAUACGGAGUUACAAAGGAACGAAGUAAAUGAAGCGACCUGGAAAGGUCCGUCGAAGAAGGUAACAACCCUGUAGUUGAAACUUCGUUCCCUCUUGAGUGGAUCCUGAGUACGGCGGAACACGUGAAAUUCCGUCGGAAGCUGGGAGGACCAUCUCCCAAGGCUAAAUACUACCUAGUGACCGAUAGUGAACCAGUACCGUGAGGGAAAGGUGAAAAGCACCCCGGAAGGGGAGUGAAAGAGAUCCUGAAACCGUGUGCCUACAAGUAGUCAGAGCCCGUUAACGGGUGAUGGCGUGCCUUUUGUAGAAUGAACCGGCGAGUUACGAUCCCAUGCAAGGUUAAGCUGAUAAGGCGGAGCCGUAGCGAAAGCGAGUCUGAAUAGGGCGUUUAGUAUGUGGUUGUAGACCCGAAACCAGGUGAUCUACCCAUGUCCAGGGUGAAGUUCAGGUAACACUGAAUGGAGGCCCGAACCCACGCACGUUGAAAAGUGCGGGGAUGAGGUGUGGGUAGCGGAGAAAUUCCAAUCGAACCUGGAGAUAGCUGGUUCUCUCCGAAAUAGCUUUAGGGCUAGCCUCAUGUUGUGAGAGUCUUGGAGGUAGAGCACUGAUUGGACUAGGGGCCCCCAACGGGUUACCGAAUUCAGUCAAACUCCGAAUGCCAAAGACUUAUCCAUGGGAGUCAGACUGCGAGUGAUAAGAUCCGUAGUCAAAAGGGAAACAGCCCAGACCACCAGCUAAGGUCCCCAAGUAUACGUUAAGUGGAAAAGGAUGUGGAGUUGCUUAGACAACCAGGAUGUUGGCUUAGAAGCAGCCACCAUUUAAAGAGUGCGUAAUAGCUCACUGGUCGAGUGACUCUGCGCCGAAAAUGUACCGGGGCUAAACGUAUCACCGAAGCUGUGGAUUGACAUCUUUGAUGUCAGUGGUAGGAGAGCGUUCUAAGUGCAGCGAAGUCAGACCGUAAGGACUGGUGGAGCGCUUAGAAGUGAGAAUGCCGGUAUGAGUAGCGAAAGACAAGUGAGAAUCUUGUCCACCGAAUGCCUAAGGUUUCCUGAGGAAGGCUCGUCCGCUCAGGGUUAGUCGGGACCUAAGCCGAGGCUGAAAAGCGUAGGCGAUGGCCAACAGGUUGAUAUUCCUGUACCACCUCCCCGCCGUUUGAGUAAUGGGGGGACGCAGUAGGAUAGGGUAAGCGCGCUGCUGGAUAUGCGCGUUCAAGCAGUUAGGCUGAUGAGUAGGCAAAUCCGCUCAUCAUAAAGGCUGAGCUGUGAUGACGAGGGAAUUAUAGUACCGAAGUUCCUGAUUCCACACUGCCAAGAAAAGCCUCUAGCGAGGCGGGAGGUGCCCGUACCGCAAACCGACACAGGUAGGCGAGGAGAGAAUCCUAAGGUGAUCGAGAGAACUCUCGUUAAGGAACUCGGCAAAAUGACCCCGUAACUUCGGGAGAAGGGGUGCUCUGGUAGGGUGUAUAGCCCGAGAGAGCCGCAGUGAAUAGGCCCAGGCGACUGUUUAGCAAAAACACAGGUCUCUGCGAAGCCGCAAGGCGAAGUAUAGGGGCUGACGCCUGCCCGGUGCUGGAAGGUUAAGAGGAGGGGUUAUCCUUUGGGAGAAGCUCUGAAUCGAAGCCCCAGUAAACGGCGGCCGUAACUAUAACGGUCCUAAGGUAGCGAAAUUCCUUGUCGGGUAAGUUCCGACCCGCACGAAAGGCGUAACGAUCUGGGCACUGUCUCAACGAGAGACUCGGUGAAAUUAUAGUACCUGUGAAGAUGCAGGUUACCCGCGACAGGACGGAAAGACCCCGUGGAGCUUUACUGUAGCCUGAUAUUGAAUUUUGGUACAGCUUGUACAGGAUAGGUAGGAGCCUGAGAAGCCGGAGCGCUAGCUUCGGUGGAGGCGUCGGUGGGAUACUACCCUGGCUGUAUUGAAAUUCUAACCCGCGGCCCUGAUCGGGCCGGGAGACAGUGUCAGGUGGGCAGUUUGACUGGGGCGGUCGCCUCCUAAAAUGUAACGGAGGCGCCCAAAGGUUCCCUCAGAAUGGUUGGAAAUCAUUCGUAGAGUGUAAAGGCACAAGGGAGCUUGACUGCGAGACCUACAAGUCGAGCAGGGACGAAAGUCGGGCUUAGUGAUCCGGUGGUUCCGCAUGGAAGGGCCAUCGCUCAACGGAUAAAAGCUACCCCGGGGAUAACAGGCUUAUCUCCCCCAAGAGUCCACAUCGACGGGGAGGUUUGGCACCUCGAUGUCGGCUCAUCGCAUCCUGGGGCUGUAGUCGGUCCCAAGGGUUGGGCUGUUCGCCCAUUAAAGCGGUACGCGAGCUGGGUUCAGAACGUCGUGAGACAGUUCGGUCCCUAUCCGUCGUGGGCGUAGGAAAUUUGAGAGGAGCUGUCCUUAGUACGAGAGGACCGGGAUGGACACACCGCUGGUGUACCAGUUGUCUUGCCAAAGGCAUCGCUGGGUAGCUAUGUGUGGACGGGAUAAGUGCUGAAAGCAUCUAAGCAUGAAGCCCCCCUCAAGAUGAGAUUUCCCAUAGCGCAAGCUAGUAAGAUCCCUGAAAGAUGAUCAGGUUGAUAGGUCAGAGGUGGAAGCGUGGCGACAUGUGUAGCUGACUGAUACUAAUCGAUCGAGGACUUAACCAA
rnacentral:rRNA from 3 species